UACGUAGGGGGCAAGCGUUGUCCGGAUUUAUUGGGCGUAAAGAGCGUGUAGGCGGCCAUACAGGUCAGCUGUGAAAACUCGAGGCUCAACCUCGAGACGUCGGUUGAAACCGUAUGGCUAGAGUCCGGAAGAGGAGAGUGGAAUUCCCGGUGUAGCGGUGAAAUGCGCAGAUAUCAGGAAGAACACCCGUGGCGAAGGCGGCUCUCUGGGACAGUACUGACGCUGAGACGCGAAAGCGUGGGGAGCGAACAGG
rnacentral:rRNA from 1 species